GGACAGAGACACACAGAGGGAUGAUAGCCAUGUAACACCGGAGUCAGCUCUUUGGCCAAUGCAUUGACAUUCCAAGAAACACAUAGAAAUGCCAGCAAACCACCAGGCCCUGAGAGAGUCUGAAUAGUGCAGGCACCAGGAAGAGGAAGACCACAUAUCAUCACAUUGUUUAAUGAACUGCAGAGGGUGUCAAAAGGACGGCAGUAAAUUCCCUGAAAAUUGGGCAUUGCCAGGAGAAAUUUGGACCCCCUUCAAGAUAAUUGCAGAAGAAAAUGCCCCCCCUCCGUUGGUUUUGGAAUGCCAAGUGUAUAUACCUCUAUAUGCUUCUCAACAGUGUGAAUAAGAUGGAAGAGGGGAAAAUCCUUCCUGCACAGUAUUUUUUUUUAUCUUCCAGAAAAUUUACUCUGAUGCGUACUUGCUACUAAAGUUUCAUCAUUAAGAUUGACCCAGCAAAAUACAUCCCUAUUCAAAAGCAAACAUCGUUUUUCUGGACACGUGAUGAGAUUUAUUCGCAAUCAAGGAAAUCGUUAACAUUCCUGCCCAUUUCACGCUAUCAAGAGCUUCAUAGAAAACCCCAAGAUGCCAUAGCAACAGGAUAAUGUUGAUACUGAAUAGGAAUCUAUAAAAAGAGGUGAAGCAAAUUAAAUAUAAAAGUGUGUGAUUUGCCGUGUGAGGCCAUGAGGACCCUUUCACGUCUUCACAAGAGAACAGACCUGUUGGAAGAGGGCAAGGUGGGGGCAAAUUUGGGUUGAAACGUGGGAAAGUGUUCAGGAAUGCCCACCCUGUUGACUUCUUCAUUCUGUUUCUGGGGAGAAGAAGUGCUUUCCAGGGAAACGUUAUCAAGCUUCAAGAAUGCUUACUGUAAACACUACAUGAAAGAACAGUAAAAAGUCAGUGAACAAACAAGAUAUGAUGCUUUGGGAAAUUUGGGUGAUGUCUGAGUAGAGAAUACAGCCCUCACUUACCCUGUCAUCUUAGACUCAGACACUCAGAACAACUCUUACAUCAGCCUGUCAGGAAUCCAUCAAAAAUUUCUCUGGGCAAAUAAAUGAACCCAGCUAUAAACUCACGUGUUCGCAGGUCUUUACACAACAGACAUCUCACCAAUCCAUCCUUUUCUCUCGUUUCCCAUGUUUGAAAGCUGUUUUGCUGAGCAGGAUAUUCCCAUGCCUAUCUUGUCUUCAUGCAGAACAAUCCCCAAAUACAUAUUUUUUUCAUGGCACGCAUGUGUUUCUGACGUAUCAGGAGUGAACUAUGCACACAACUGAUUCUAUAUUUAAAAAUGCAGCUAGCUACCUGGUGCAUAUCAUUCAUCAAUGUGCAGAUACGAGUGGCAUGAAUUCCUAGCAGUGGGAUCCUGGGUCAGUGAUAAUGUUUGUGUGUAUUUACAAAACCUCCUUUGUCAGAACCAACUCUAGCAGAUGGGAAUUGCACUGAGAAAGGACAAAACACUGGCUAACAGGAGCUUUAGCCAACACUGGAGAGUUCUGCACAACUGAUUGGUGGGAAAAGAUGAACUUAAUGUACUUGGAGGAUUUCUUUUUUUGUUCAUGGUUCUGUGUACUUUAUAGGAAUAAUAAUAAUUUAUAGUCCAGUUUUUGUCAGUGCCGUGCUAACUUCCACUGAACCUGCUUUAUAUUGUUUUGGACUUUUUGUAGGCAUAUACACACUUGAAGGAGAUACUCGUGUAUUUGGAAAUUAGCCUCUUGUAAUGUGAUUUGGAAACAUAUUUCCAGAGUGUUGCUUGCUUUUCAAACAUAACUUCUGCCAUAAAGACUAUUACAAAACAAUUUUAAGUAAGUUUAUGGAUACUUUAUGGCUAUUGGUUUUUAAAUUCUAAUUAAAAGCUUUUCCACACUAAGGUUCAACAAUCACAUAUACAAAACAAACACACAUACAGAGUUCUGUUUUGAAAACUAUUGCAUUAUUAUGUACGAGGACUAUACUCAUGCAAUAGUAUAGAUUAUGCCUCUAAGCAUUAUACGAUUAUAAGCAUAUGUUUGCAAUAAAUAUUUAUCAGGCAUCGUUUAUCAUUUAUAGUUUCAUUAGUCAAUGUCACUUCAAUCAAUUCAAUUGAUAAUGCAAAAAAAAAAAAAGAAAUAUCACCUUUUUACAUGACUUCCCACAACUAAAUUGACAUGAUCUCUAAUUACAACAAAUUGGCUAGUAGAAGGU